rnacentral:rRNA from 1 species
GACGAACGCUGGCGGCGUGCUUAACACAUGCAAGUCGAACGAAAAGAGGGAAAGAGCUUGCUCUUUCCGGAAUUGAGUGGCAAACGGGUGAGUAACACGUAAACAACCUGCCUUUAGGAUGGGGACAACAGACGGAAACGACUGCUAAUACCGAAUAAGUUCCAAGAGCCGCAUGGCCCAUGGAAGAAAAGGUGGCCUCUACCUGUAAGCUAUCGCCUGAAGAGGGGUUUGCGUCUGAUUAGCUGGUUGGAGGGGUAACGGCCCACCAAGGCGACGAUCAGUAGCCGGUCUGAGAGGAUGAACGGCCACACUGGAACUGAGACACGGUCCAGACUCCUACGGGAGGCAGCAGUGGGGAAUCUUCCGCAAUGGGCGAAAGCCUGACGGAGCAACGCCGCGUGAGUGAUGACGGCCUUCGGGUUGUAAAACUCUGUGAUCCGGGACGAAAAGGCAGAGUGCGAAGAACAAACUGCAUUGACGGUACCGGAAAAGCAAGCCACGGCUAACUACGUG